AAUUGUGGUGGUUUUCUUUCUGGCACAUUUGUUAAGUUUUCAAAUGGGCCUGACUCUGCCACAUAUAUUAUAUAGGAGCUGGCAAAGGUUUGAUGACAAAGAAAUUUCUCUCUAGCCUUUCCCAUAUCAAAGAUAAGCUCCCACAUGU
ensembl:snoRNA